rnacentral:lncRNA from 7 species
GAACACUGCGGUGCAACUAUUGGGUGCAGUGUUUUGGGUGGCUUUUCAUCCGCUUCCUAUAUAUAGAAGUAAUUUAUUUAUUUAUUUGUUGUAGUUAGGGUAGGUUGGCAGUGCUGAAGUCAAGCCAGACAGACUUCAUGUGGGGCUUUGAAGAGUGGAAUUUCACAGUGUAAAAAAAUAUCAGUGUAAAACCCAUUCAUCAGCCUGCAGCAACAAAUAGGAAUUUGAAUGGACGCUUGGUCAAGGUCUUUGGCCACUGUAUCUGUUAAUGUCUGUACUUCUGAGAUAGCUGCUGAAAAUGGUCCUCAAGUUGAAAAAUAAGAAAAGGCUUAAAGCUACAUGUGGAGGAAAAAAUCAUUCUGAAGAAUGAAACUUGAGACUAUCCCUCAGCAUCUUUUAAAAAUUUACCGGUAUGUCCCUUCUGAGUCAUGACUGACUUGUGUGCUGGGCAAGAAAAUGAACAAAUUCCAGAUGGUAAAUAUUGAGGAACCAGUUAGAGAUUAUUAAUGUAAAUGCUUCUAACAGAAUGAGUUUUAUUUACAAUAUUACUGUAGUUUUCUCAGGCUUACUAAUGCAAUUUUUUUUUUUUUUGGAUGAAACUAGCUGUGUUUGAAUACUUUUCUGUUUGGAAAUUCUUGCUCCCUGCUAUACCAGUGUCAGAAAUGAGUUCAUUGAUUAUAUUUAAUUUUGUGGGCUAUUUUGCUUGUUAAGGCAUUAUCUAGUGUAUACUUUCUUCAAUGGAGAGUUAUCAUAGAUGGUCAGUUAACUAAUUGCUGUUUUCACAUUCAAAUACAAACAAUAUAAGUAAGCUCCU